GAUGAAGAACGUAGUGAAAUGCGAUAAGUAAUGUGAAUUGCAGAAUUCAGUGAAUCAUCGAAUCUUUGAACGCACAUUGCGCCCAUUAGCAUUCUAGUGGGCAUGCCUGUUCGAGCGUCAUUUCAACCCUUAAGCCCUGUUGCUUAGCGUUGGGAGCCUACAGUACUGUAGCUCCCCAAAGUUAGUGGCGGAGUCGGUUUCACACUCUAGACGUAGUAAUUUUUUCUCGUCUGUAGUUGAGCCGGUCCCCUGCCGUAAAACACCCCAUUUAUCAAGGUUGACCUCGGAUCAGGUAGGAAUACCCGCUGAACUUAAGCAUAUCAAUAAGCGGAGGA
rnacentral:misc_RNA from 1 species